rnacentral:rRNA from 1 species
GACGAACGCUGGCGGCGUGCUUAACACAUGCAAGUCGAACGGAAAGGCCCUGCUCUUGUGGGUUGCUCGAUUGGCGCACGGGUGAGUAACACGCGUGUAUCCCGUCCUUGUCUUUGUGAUAACUCCAGGAAACUCGGGCUAUUACCGGAUAUGAUCUCUUGCUGCACGGUGGGCGUUGGAAAGUUUCGGUGGUGGGGGAUGGACUCGCUGGUUAUGGGCUUGUUGGUCUGGUAGUUGCUUACCAAGCCUUUGACGGGUAGCCGGCAUGAGAGGGUGACCGGCCACAUUGGGACUGAGAUACGGCCCAGACUCCUACGGGAGGCAGCGGUGGAGAGUAUUGCACAAUGGGCGGAAGCCUGAGGUAGCAACGCCGGGUGCGGAAUGCCGUCCUUCGGGUUGUAAACCGAUUUGGCCUGUGACGAAGCGUGAGUGACGGUAAUGGGUAAAGAAGCACCGGCUAACUACGUG